UAUGUGAUCGUCUCUCGCAUAUCAAUAAGCGGAGGAAAAGAAACUAACAAGGAUUCCCCUAGUAACGGCGAGUGAAGCGGGAAGAGCUCAAAUUUGAAAUCUUAAAGGGUUUCCCUUUACGAAUUGUAGUUUAAAGAAGUGUUUUCUGUUGAGGUUUUGGUAAAAGUUCUUUGGAAUAGGACAUCAUAGAGGGUGAGAAUCCCGUAUUUGACCUUUACUUUCAACUUUGUGAUACACUCUCAAAGAGUCGGAUUGUUUGGGAAUGCAGUCCAAAAUGGGUGGUAAAUUUCAUCUAAAGCUAAAUAUUGGCGAGAGACCGAUAGCGAACAAGUACCGUGAGGGAAAGAUGAAAAGAACUUUGAAAAGAGAGUUAAACAGUACGUGAAAUUGUCAAAAGGGAAGCGUUUGACACCAGUGUUGUUUUUCUGAAAAUCAAUUAAAGAACUGUUUAUGCUAAGCUGUUUAGACUUUAUCAGCUAUCUGUUUAGUUUUGAGCUUUUCUUUAAUGCACUUUUCAGUUAACAAGUCAACAUCAAUUUCUUUUGCUGUAAAAAGCUUGAGGAAGGUGGCUUGAGAUUCGUCUUAAGUGUUUAUAGCCUCUUGCCUAUGCAGUCGGAGAGAUUGAGGUCUGCAGCGUAGAUCCUUCGGGGCUAAAUGCAUUUGUGCUAAGUUAUAGCAUUUUAUAGACAACUUGUUGACUAUGAUUUGUCUUGUAGCUUACUCGCUUAUGUUAUUUUACCUACGCUUAGGAUGUUGAGCGCAUGUCUCUCUCU
rnacentral:rRNA from 1 species